rfam:TPA: Bos taurus chromosome 1, whole genome shotgun sequence.
UCCCUGGUGGCUCAGAUGGUAAAGAAUCUGCCUGUAAUGCAGGAGACCAGGGUUUGAUCCCUGGGUAGGGAA